GUAUAAACGCUGGCGGCGUGCCUUAUGCAUGCAAGUCGAACGCACCGCAAGGUGAGUGGCGAACGGGUGAGUAACACGUAGGAACCUGCUCUGGAGUGGGGGAUAACUCCUCGAAAGAGGGGCUAAUACCGCAUACGGUCUACGGACCAAAGCUUUACGCGCUCUGGGAGGGGCCUGCGGCGGAUUAGCUAGUUGGUGGGGUAACGGCCUACCAAGGCGACGAUCCGUAGCUGGUCUGAGAGGAUGGUCAGCCACACUGGGACUGAGACACGGCCCAGACUCCUACGGGAGGCAGCAGCAAGGAAUUUUGCACAAUGGGCGAAAGCCUGAUGCAGCAACGCCGCGUGGGGGAUGAAGGCCUUCGGGUUGUAAACCCCUUUUGCGAGGAAAGAAAAUCUGACGGUACCUCGCGAAUAAGCCACGGCUAACUACGUGC
rnacentral:rRNA from 1 species